GGCAUUAUGCAUUCCUUGAGACAUUAAUUCCUCUAUUGCAGCUAGCCAUAUUUUGUCCUCGAAACUGAAGUCCUGCAGCCUCAUUUUCACUAUCUCCGGUAAAAGAUGCUCCAUCACAGUACCUUAAUUUGACUCUAUUCCAGUUAAAGAAAUCAGGGUUUUCUUCUGGUUUAUUACUCAAUAUUCCUGUGAAUGGUAUUUGAUUUUCCAUGUAGUUUGAGGAACCACGACGAGUCUUUUUUUUUUUAUACACACAGUUUCUGAUAGUGUUACAUCAACCUCCACUACUGUCAUGUUGUGACCCGCAAUGGCAAAGGAAAGCUCGUCGUUGAGUGCAGCGUUGAUGAUUCUCAUGAGGUAUGUCUUCCCUUGCUCUACCUCCAUUGCAAAUGUAUGCUUUUCAAAACAAGGAAAUAGUGGUCCUGGUUUGUAUUGUAUGAACUGGAACAUAAUGCCUUGUACCUUACUGUCACCUAUUGUAUAUCUUAAUCUUUUGUCAAGAAUAUAUUUGAACAUUUGACAUCGCGGUGUAGAAUGUGAUUUGUAUGCAUCUUGGUGUCAUUGUUCUGCAACUAUGAAAGUUCCAUUGAAAGCCUUUCUCAUUGGCACCAAACUGUGAGGACUAUUAUCAACCACUUCGAAGCAAAUUUUAUUCUUGUUCCACCAGCCAUGUACUAAGAGAGAUUAUAUUAUUGAGAGCAUUCACCAUAUAAGUCUCAUUCUUAGGCAUGAGUCUCCGCACUUCUGAAUGUCUGCAAAAGAGUGAUACUCUUAAUUCGCACUUUAUCUGCCCUUUUCAUUCACAGCUUCAACAACUGCAAAGCAAAUUGACAGC
rnacentral:lncRNA from 1 species